ACAUAAUAUUGUGGACUAAAAAAUGGAAAUAAAGGGUCGAAUUGCAAAUUAGACAUGCAGUCAUGCAAACAUGCAUUCCUCCCUCGUUUCGCGUCCUUCUUCGCUGCCAGAUAUGCCCGUGCAUCUGGGACUUCUACUGCUGUUUUCUCGUUCAACACGGGCCUUCUGCUUUGGGUUUUAGUAUCUGUAGGCCUUCCGUUGGUAACGCCUGCGUUUUUCUUGGUGCUGGUUUGACGAUUUUCGUUUCUUCCCAUUUGACAGUUGUGUUGUCUGCAUGGGCCGCUUCGGCUAGGGUGGUGUUUGUGUUGCC
rnacentral:lncRNA from 1 species